rnacentral:lncRNA from 1 species
AAGAUUGGGAGUGAGAAUUUGGUUAAGAUCUCCAGAUUCUCCACCCGACAACCAAUCUGAUCACCGUGACAAUUGUCAUGUAAGGUCAUUGAAAACGCAAUGGAAGCGGUGGAAACAGAUCAUACUUCCAACCCAGACAGAUAGAGACCGGCCCUCCUUAUCCAAGGUUGUAGGCAUAGAAUGAGCGCGGAAUUCCAAAGAGAGCAGUGCGCUGUCUUUUCUUUGAAAUUCCUGCAUCCCCUUGGAUAUCCACUUUAUUUGUAUGAACAUGGAUGAACAACAUGUUGAAGAGAGCACCGCCACUCUCUCUCCCUUCUCCAGAAUUUUCUAGCAAAAUUCAUCAGCUGCGCCACUUCUAGACUUCUCCAUAGAAAUCUAGUUGUCAGGCUAUAAUAAAAUAAUUAUUUGUACAAUAGUGUAGAAAGCCAGCAAAGUCACCGACUUUCCAUCCUAUAAAUAGGAGCAACUUGCUCCUCAUGUGUGUCCAACUAAGAGUGUGCGAGUAAGAAGUCCAAGAGGGUGUGCGUGGCUGUAGUGGGUGGUGUGAGUGUAGAGUGUGGUGUGAGUGUAGGGUAAAAUAGUGGUCCCCAUUGUGUAGACAUAGGAGUCUAUAAAAAAAGUGUAAGGGGCUUUGUGUAUGAGUGGGGUCUUUGAAAGUUGUUGUCUAGAGUCUGCUGUGGGUGUAUAUGAGUGAGUGACGUGAGAGUGGUGUACAUGAGUGCAAGAGUUCAUUGUACACUUUGAUGCAAUUAAGUGUUAUUGUAAUAUUAAGAAAGUGUUUAGUAUAAUCACGUUUCGCAACUCGACACAACAGAGCUGUUGGCUCGUGUCAACAAGGCUGAACAUGAUGUUGGCCUCUCUGAACAUGGCUGUGGGACUGCAAUUGUGUUGGACUGCGAUAUGAUGGACUGAAAUGUGUUGUGAUGGCUGUGAUUGCCGUGCUGUGAUGGCUGUGAUGGACUGAGAUGACCGUGAUGACUGUUAUGUGAUCAUUGCAGUUGGUUGUAAUUUCCUCUUAUUGUUGAAAAAUUGACGGUCUUUCUUUGUCUGAACAUGGCUCAACAGAGCUGUUACCUUGUAUGAACACGGUUGUUGGCCUGUCUGAACAUGGCUGUUGGCUGUUGCACCUGUUGGACUGCAAUUUGAUGGACUGAGAUAUGCUGUGAUGGCUGUGCAGUGACGGAGGCGCUGUAAUCACUGGAGUUGAUUGUAAUUUCCUCUUUUUGUUGUACCUUGAUGGUCUUGCUUGACUUACGCUCAAUGUUACUAUUAUGUGGUAUUGUGACAGUAAUCACUGUGGAAACAUUGUACCUAAGAUUAGUUCAGUUUCGAUGUUUUAUGUCCUUAUCCUUCCCAUCACCUUCAGAACUGCAACUACUUAGCUAUUAGUCUCUUGACUAUUAACUUAAAAUUCAGGAGAUUCUUGAAUUUAGAAUUUGGUGGUUUCCUGUUUCUUAUUGAGCAAUUAUGGUUGCAAAACUUGGGAAUUUAAUUUUCAGUUAUCUUCCGCUAGUGCUUUUAUGCCUCGGAUUUU